UAAAAUGGCUAGAGACUAGAGAUCGACUUCUCAGUUAUUGAUAAGGAGGGCGGCUGGAUAUGCUAUAGAAAGGGAAGACUAGAGAUCGACGUCCUAAACUUUGUUUGAGAGAUUGAGAGCCUCUUCUCCAAUCUCCACAACAUGAAUCCUUUCUGCUUAGUUUCUUAACCCCUUUAUCCCUUUCUACUUCUCCCAAAUUCCUACCCUUUCCUAGAGCGUUCUUCCUCUCCCUUCCUUUUUGGUUCUGAAAGGAUCUCCUGCAUACUCCCUUGGAUCAGUAGGUGAAUCCCUAUGAUCUCUGUUGCAGGCACUAUGGUUUUGAGGGUGAUCUCCACCUCCUUUCUGCAACUGCUACGAUUCUCCACCAUGGCCGAUUAGUUAUAGCAUCUGCUCACAGCAUCACCAACAGAAGCUUAUUUAAUCUCUGCUAUCAUCAAUUUGACAGAAAAUCGUUUGAAUUGGGAAUGUGAUCCAACUACAAUUGGGAUUUUCGAUUUUCUCCUCUGCGAUGGUCUUCUCUGCAUCUUCUCCCUAGAGGACUGGCUUUGCCUUCAAAAGCGCAUAACGAAGCAUCUCCAAUAGGCUUUGUGUCUCUGCUAUCGAAACCGUCGACUUUUGUUCGUUGAACACACUGGAGGAAUGCACGGUAGUCCAACUACUGCUCUAAGCCCAGAGAAAUAACUCGGACAAACAAAGAAGCAUUUGGAAGGGCAACAAGUGGAGACAAACCAACGAAGGUGAGGAUUUCAUUCUUUAUGUCAAAAUUUGUUUUUCUUUUCUUCGAAUUGAAAUAAAACUGAUGAAUCUGUAAGCCACAUUCAAUCUCAGUAGAUUUCAAAAACUAAUGAAUUUUCAGUUGAGAACAUGCAUUGCAUGUAAGAUUUUCUAUUAGGUGGGCUAGCAUAGUCAAAGAUUUGUUUUCAAAAUCGGUUUAGUGGUGUUGAUUAAAGAUGGAGUAAGCAGAAAGAAUCCAAUAUUAUUGGGUUGGUCUCUACCCUCAUCCCUAUAUAUAGUUAUUAUUGACCCAUUAAGUGAGGCUAACGACAAAAAACAAAAGGGAAAGAAAGUAGACCAGACCAACAUUGAUUGUGUUGUACGAGGAGCAUACAAGAAGACAUUGAGGAGUUCUUAUUCUUCAGCCAUGGAUUCAGGUACCUGAGAUUUUAGUGGUUACUAUGAGUCAUCACUAUAGAGGAUGCACUCUUCUUUCGUCAGUCAUAAUGCCUUUUCAUUUUAACAAGGAAGUACCACAAAGGUUCAAAUAUAAUUAAUGAAGAAUGUGAUAAAAACCUUUUCAAAGUUCUCCAACAACAAAGCUUGGGAAGCUUGGACUUGGAAAAGAUAUGAGCAACAAAGAGCACUAAAUUAGUAGUUUAGUAGUUAUUUCGUUUUUCUUAACAUACAACAUGAAUUGUUGAGGGAGUUGAGUUUUCUAAGAUAAGAUUUUUGAUGUAUCAAAUAUUAUGAUUCAGAUGAUCAAUGUAAUUUUUAUUUUAGAUUCAUUUUGAAUUUUAA